GAGCCGCCAAUCGAGGAUAAUCAAAGAUUGCUGAACCCCCAAAGAUGUGACCGUUGCACCCAUUUAACUGAAAUUCAAAAACAAAAAGCCACACGAGGACUCAUUAUAUUAUGCCAUGGACAUUUACAGGUCUUCCUAGAGCUGAUUCUUGUUUCUUAAACCAUGAUUAACGCAGUUCCUUAGUUGGGGUUUUUAAUGUAAUUAGAAAUUAAAAAAAUAUUAGCUGUUAACUGAAGAAACGUUUCUUAAUUAAGCGUCACAAGACACAUUUCUUAGGAGACAUGUGUCCCCCAUUGAGAGAAUUUUGCAUUUUUCUCUAUCUCUCUCUCUCGGUGGCUCUCCUCGAUGACUCCGCUUCUCUCUCGGUGGCUCUCCUCGACGACUCCGCUUCUCUCUCAGUGGCUCUCCUAGAUGAUGAAUCACUCCGCCUCUCUCUCGGUGGCUCUCCUCGAUGAUGAAAACCUCUGUCUCUCUCUCGACGGCUCUCCUCAUUAAAAACUCACUCCACCUCUCUCUCGGUGGCUCUCCUCGACGAAGAAAACGGCGACUGGUUCUGCUCAGUCGAAUCGAAAGGCAAAGCUAUGUUAUUUUAUUUUAUGUUUGAAUCCUUCGAUUCAUGCAUGUCUUAGAUUAUGCUCCUUCUUGUUCGGGUCACAAGUUUUCUAACUUUUGAUUUGUUUGUUGUGUUGGUUUGUGUCUAUUGAUUAUGUCUUGUGUUGGUUUCUGUCUCGUGAUUAAUAUAUAUAUCAUGUGAUUACUUUUGAUUUGUUUCUGUAUUUGUGUGUUAAGAUGGAUGGAUCAAGAGACAUGAGCAAGGUUCGUCAAACUAGAAGACCACAGUUGCAACAUGUAAAACAUUUAUCUUUGAUAUGUUCAAUUGAUUGAAAGUUUUAUAAAAAGCAUUGUUUAUAUUUGUAGGUCGUUUUUUCUUAAGUUCAGAUUGAUGUUGAUUUUGAUUCUGGUCUGAAAUGAAUUGAUUUUGACUCUGGUCUGAAUUGAAUUGUCGUUAAUAAAUGUUUUGGUUAGUGUUAAAUUAUGGUUGUGUUAGGUAAUAAAUAAAUGUAAUGGUUAGAUAUAAAUCUCUGUUGAAGUGUGAUGAAUGUAUAAGAUAUAUAUCAAGUCGAUUUGGUUGGUUGUGAUGAAUGCGUUGAUAUAUUAAACACAGUGUUCUUUUUUCUCUCUUCUAUAAAACACAUUCCUUCUUCUCCCUCAUCUAUCAAACACAUUGUUCUUUUCUUUCUCUUUUCUUUGACAUAUUCGGAUAUGGAUUCUAAUCCAUAUAGGCACACAUCAAAGUUUGUUGAACUUCUUAAUAGUCAACAAGAUACUGUCUUCGGUUUAGUACAAGAUAAUGACGAACUAUUUUCAUCACAAGUCCCUGUAUUUGGAACUCAAGGUACUGAAGAUUCAAACUUUGGUAAAGACACUCCUGCAGAGCAUAGAGAACGAAGGAAAUGGACGCCAAUAGAUGAUGUUGUGAUCAUCAGCUCGUGGUUAAACACAAGCAAAGAUCCUGAUGUGUUUCUUCUUCUGGUCUUGAAAGAGUGAAAGAGUGGAGCAUUGGGAGUGGAAGAAUCAUGGACUGAAGUGAAGUCUUGUACUCUUGUGUAAACUUUGUAUUAUUGUUUGAAUUGGAGCUUGUAUUCUUGUGUAAAGUCUUGUAUUCUUGUCGUGUGUCAUCAGUCACGGACUAGCACAGUCACGGACUACCAUAGUUGUAUUAUUCACAUUGUAUUCAUCAGUUCUAUUUUAAGUUUGAAUUCACCAAAGUUUUAUU